GCGGAAGGAUCAUUCGCACGCAAAUUGCAUCCGAUUCAUUGUGAAUUUUGGGCGUGGGGUUCUGCCUGUGGGUGUAAAUAACACAGCGCGGAAGCUCGAAGGCAGCGGGGCGGUGUGGGCGAUCCUCUCUCCGGGGCGCCUCCGCACUGUGCUCGGUGUCACAUCCCUUUCCCACCAUGUUCUUCUGAACUGUUUUCUUGCUCGCAACAUCAGUUGACGAAAGCUUUACAACUUUCAGCGACGGAUAUCUCGGCUCAAACAACGAUGAAGGGCGCAGCGAAGUGUGAUAAGCAUUGUGAAUUGCAGAUUUCCGUGAGCCAAUAGAAACCUGAACGCAUCCUGCGCUUUCGGGAUAUUCCUGAAAGCAUGCCUGCUUCAGUGUCUACUUCUUUCUGCCAGCGAGGCGCUCGCAUUACGCGAGCUCGUCGCUUGGCGUCGUGUGUGUUAGGAUUGGCGUGUGCCUCUCUGGGGCAGCGCGCCGAGCUUGACGCAUGGAAGGUAUGUGUGAGCUUGCGCACUUCGCAAUGUAUUGAUUGGGUCUUCCCAGCUCUGUGCUUUGCGAGGAGUGCGGCUAAGCUUGCCAGCUAUCGCAGCACCUUACCUCAAGACAUGAAGCCAGGUCAGCAAACCCGCU
rnacentral:rRNA from 1 species